AGCAGCCGCGGUAAUUCCAGCUCCAAUAGCGUAUAUUAAAGUUGUUGCAGUUAAAAGCUCGUAGUUGAAUUUCGGGGUUAGUAGGUUGGUCAUGCCUCUGGUAUGUACUGGUCUCACCGAUUCCUCCUUCCUUAUGAACCGUAAUGCCAUUAAUUUGGUGUUGCGGGGAAUUUGGACUGUUACUUUGAAAAAAUUAGAGUGUUUAAAGCAAGCUAACGCUUGAAUACAUUAGCAUGGAAUAAUGAAAUAGGACGUUCGAUCUUAUUUUGUUGGUUUCUAGGAUUGACGUAAUGAUUAAUAGGGAUAGUUGGGGGCAUUAGUAUUCAAUUGUCAGAGGUGAAAUUCUUGGAUUUAUUGAAGACUAACUACUGCGAAAGCAUUUGCCAAGGAUGUUUUCAUUAAUCAAGAACGAAAGUUAGGGGAUCGAAGACGAUCAGAUACCGUCGUAGUCUUAACCAUAAACUAUGCCGACUAGGGAUCGGAUGAUGUUAAUUUUUUUAAUGACUCAUUCGGCGCCUUA
rnacentral:rRNA from 1 species